CACGUAGGGGGGCAAGCGUUGUCCGGAUUCAUUGGGCGUAAAGGGUGUGUAGGUGGCGCCGUAAGUCGGGUGUGAAAUUUCGGAGCUUAACUCCGAAACUGCAUUCGAUACUGCGGUGCUUGAGGACUGGAGAGGAGACUGGAAUUCAUGGUGUAGCAGUGAAAUGCGUAGAGAUCAUGAGGAAGACCAGUGGCGAAGGCGGGGUCUCUGGACAGUUCCUGACACUGAGACACGAAGGCCAGGGGAGCAAACGGG
rnacentral:rRNA from 1 species